rnacentral:rRNA from 1 species
AACGCGAAGAACCUUACCAGGGCUUGACAUGACCAGGACACCGGCGGAAACGUGGGCUCCCCGCAAGGGGCCUGGCCACAGGUGUUGCAUGGCUGUUGUCAGCUCGUGUCGUGAGAUGUUGGGUUAAGUCCCGCAACGAGCGCAACCCUUAUCCGUAGUUGCCAGCGAGUCAUGGCGGGGACUUUACGGAGACUGCCGGCGGUAAGCCGGAGGAAGGUGGAGAUGACGUCAAGUCUUCAUGGCCCUUAUGCCCAGGGCUACACACGUGUUACAAUGGUCGGUACAAAGGGUUGGGAAGCCGCGAGGUGGAGCUAAUCCCAAAAAGCCGGCCUCAGUUCGGAUUGGAGUUUGCAAUUGGACUCCAUGAAGUUGGAAUCGUUAGUAAUCGUGGAUCAGCACGCCACGGUGAGUACGUUCCCGGGCCUUGUACACACCG